rnacentral:rRNA from 1 species
UGCGUAGGCGGUGCGCUAAGUCAGUGGUGAAAUCCUCCCGCUUAACGGGAGAACUGCCGUUGAUACUGGCGCACUUGAGUACGGACGAGGUAGGCGGAAUUUAUGGUGUAGCGGUGAAAUGCAUAGAUACCAUAAAGAACACCAAUAGCGUAGGCAGCUUACUAGACCGUAACUGACGCUGAGGCACGAAAGCGUGGGGAGCGAACA